UGGCGGUCAUAUCACGUUGAAACACCGGUUUGCGUACGAUCAUCAAAGUUAAGCAACGUCGAGCCUGGUCUUUACCUCGAUGGUUGACCGCUUGGAAAUAUAACG